AACCCUUCCUGACGCACGGGCUACCUAAAUAUGAAAUUCCUUCCUUCCACGAGCAUUGAAUGAGCACCUACAGUAUACCAGUCAGAGGGUCCCCACGGCCAACGCACUAAGCAUUACGUCGUCAUCAUCAUAAGUCAGCCAGACGCUGCCUGGGCUGCAGCCCGCAGAGGGCACGGCAGGGGCUCCAGGUGGAACAGUGCGCGGAUAGAGGGGGGAACCUUGCUGCAGAACAUCUAAGAUGUUAGCCUGGGGAGGCGGGGAGACAAAUGGAAGGUGAGGAGCCACGGAUGAGCUGGACAUCCUGAAAGGCCUUGAGGCAUGAGGUGGGUCCUCGUCCAAGGAGCUGGAAAUUCGUCUCUGUCUUCCCUGUCGUCUGUCCUAAGUGGUCUUGGUAUUUUCAGUCCCAUCAUGCCUUGCCCCCCAGAAUUCUCUUUCGGAUGUUGGGAGGAAGGAUCCUUGAAGUGAUCCAGAGCAAACGCUUCCUUUACUUGAGAAAACCAAGGACCGGAGAUGUGAGGAGACCUGCCCGGAGCCACAGACCUGCCGUGGGAGAGAUGGGACCAGACCCUGUUCCCAGAACGUCCAGGCUCACCUUGCCUCUCCUGAGUGACCGCUGCGACCACACUGUCUCCUUCUGAUACUUCAUAAUAUAUUCCCAGGCUCCUGGCACACCUUCCAGGCCCCACGUGGAGACAGCACCCACACCGGUCUAACCCUUACUGAAUGACCAGGCCCUGAUCAGCCACCGUUGCCUGGAGCCGUGCAGCCUGCGGGGAACAAGGGACUACAGCCAACAAUCUGGAGUUCUCACCUUGGCCUUGCUGCUAAACCAACCCAAGCCACAGGAUGUCCCCAGUGACUUGAAUUCCUCCAUCCAUAGACUGAAGCUGUGUCUGACCUAUAUCCCCAGAGUCUGGGAGAGGCUCUCAUUGACCACUUAAGAUGCACUGCUGUGCUAGGUAUGGCACUGGGUACGUCUCUACCACGUGCUGCACUGGUUUUACUACAGUGCCCAUCACUAGCUGUCACUUUCCUGUUCAUUUGUCACUUGGCUUAUUCCGCGUUGUCUAUUGCCCAUCUCCUCCUACUAAAGUGCAGACUCCUUGGACACAGAAGAAGCGUCUCCCCUGUUUGCUGUUGAAUCCCUGUGAAAGACUGUCCACCCUUCAGUGAGCUAGCUGUCUGCUGAAUCAGAUGGGAUAGUGCAUAUAAAAACAUCGCGUGCAAUAACA